UUCUUCGUAGACAGCUUCCACCGCAAGAAAAACACAACCAUGUUAACAACAACAACGAUCAUAAUCAACCCUACACUGAUCAAUAAAUACCACAUUUUAUCUGGAGAUAUCAUAUCACAGCCAUUGAGACUAAUAAGAAAGAGACAUGGAGACUGGAGAGGCAACAUCAUCCAUAGAAACGCCCACAUUUCUAUAAUAUA